rnacentral:lncRNA from 1 species
GUUUUGUCCUCAUCUUGGUUUCAUUUUCUAUUCCUCUUAAGACAAGAAUGAUGAUUUUUUUUUUGUUUCAAGUCUUGGACAUCUUGCUGCAGAGCUUGUUAGUCACUAGGCCUUCGUAAGACUCAGGAAGAGGUAAGAAGACAAAGGGCCUUCUCCCCUUUCUCAAUAUUAAAAUAGAUAUAUCAUAUUCUUGUAUGCCUUGAUCUUCAACCUGUACAGUUCUCAGUUCUGGUGCAAUUCUUACACAUAUAUUUUCUCCAGUUUUUUCAUAGUCGUGGUGUUGAAUCUUUGAAUUGUCAUAUGCAAUCAUUCAUGAAUGUAGGACCAGUUAAUACUCGAAUUUAAUGUGGUUGGGCAAGACUUGCCUGUGAGAAGACUUGUCUACAUCCAGAGAUAGAACAAGUAAGUGACCCAUGUGCUUGUACACAUUCGAUCAACUCACCGACACUUUCAACCAUUUGUAUAUGUCCUCCUCACUCUCAGCCUGUAUGGAACUGUCAAUUUACCAAUGACCAAGUUGUUUAACAAAUUUGGAUUCCACUAGGUCGGUUCGCUUUACAUGGAGUUGCAAGUUGUGGAAAUUGGUUGAAUCUUGAAAUAGUCCAGUUACCAGGAUUGGAUAUUUAGAGGAGGAGAAUUUUUCUCGUAGUUUUUACUCUUUUAAUCAUAAAUACACCAUUUGUUUUAACCAUAGAUACACUAUUAGGGAGGAAAAGUAAUUGGCAGUGGGAAUCUCCUCGUGUGGGUCCUCAUUGAGUUGGCGAGAGUGGAAGUAGGUGCAAGUGGAACCAAGAAGAUAAUUAUGAGCUUUUUCGAAAGUAGUUUUGGAAUAACAAUGUGAAAAAAUCCUUCUUAAGUAGCUAUUAUCUCGGAAUAUCUUAAAAGAGAGUUUGGCAAUCAAAACAAAAUGGAGUUAGUAUUUUCCAACCUUAUUUAAU